CAGUAGCCGCGGGAAUACGAAGGGGGCUAGCGUUGCUCGGAAUCACUGGGCGUAAAGGGUGCGUAGGCGGGUCUUUAAGUCAGGGGUGAAAUCCUGGAGCUCAACUCCAGAACUGCCUUUGAUACUGAAGAUCUUGAGUUCGGGAGAGGUGAGUGGAACUGCGAGUGUAGAGGUGAAAUUCGUAGAUAUUCGCAAGAACACCAGUGGCGAAGGCGGCUCACUGGCCCGAUACUGACGCUGAGGCACGAAAGCGUGGGGGGCAAACAGGAUUAGAUACCCCGGUAGUCCCUGUCUCUUAUAC
rnacentral:rRNA from 1 species